rnacentral:ncRNA from 1 species
UCAGGAUCUGAAACAAAUCACUUGGACGUGAUCUAAUAGAGGAGCGAUAACUAGCUUUACGACAGCCAAUAUUUAAUAGCGACGUUGCUUUUUGAUCCUUCGAUGUUGGCUCUUCUCAUCAUACUGAACCAGACUUCGGUAAUCGUUCAAUUGCUCACCCACUAAUAGGGAACAGGACCUGGGGUUUCGACAAAUGUGAGGUCAGUUUUACCGACUAAUGAAAUGUUGUUGCAAGAGGGAUUGAACUAAGUGCAGGAAGAACCGUUCAUUCGGAUAAUCGGUAUUUUGGGCAUGCCUGAGCAGGCAAUGGUCUGAAGCUAUCGUACAUUAGGUAACGACGGAAAGCCUCCAAGUCAGAACGCGCACUAAAACGCGAUAAUUAUCGUUUUUUUCAGAAUUUUUGUCAAAUACGAAUAGAUCUUUGGAUCCUGUAUCUUACUAUGUGGGGUUAUGUUCAAAGAAACGCUUUGAGAAGUUCCUGCAAAUGUUAAUUUCAAAUAUUGGAAAAGAUGCAUCCAAUUUCAAAUAUUGCAAGCAGUAACGUAGCCUUGCCAUUACGAUCUGAUGAAAUAGAGUCCAUUGUUCC